rnacentral:lncRNA from 1 species
GUAUUUUAUGGAAAAGUAAAACGGUUGGUAAAGGGAUUAUAGUGGGUGAAUUAUUAAGAUAAGGAUAACAACCCCUGUUGUUUUGCGCUUUCUUACUUUAGUACCAUGUGAUUUAAAUAAUAUUAAUUUAAUAUCUCGUGGUUUUAUUUUUCCCUUUUUCUCAGCUCCUCCGUUAACAUUUCGUUAAAUUAUAUACAAAAAACUUCAGAUACCUCACCUAAGUUUUUCGAAUAAUCACUUUAAUAUCUUUUAGUUUUAACUUUUUUACUGAUUUAAUGAAAAAAAAUAGUGGAGAGAAUAAUAAAAAGAGAAAAAUAAAAUCAUGAGGUAAUAAAUUGAUACACUUUAAAAUAUAGAGUAUUAAAAUAAAAAAAUGCGAAAUCAUAUGGGUGGUAUCUGAUGUUUUUCUAUAAAAUAAUCUAACAACCCCUAUUUGACUACAUGUAAUGAAAUGGGAAAGGAUUCAAGGAUUUUAAACAUUCUCGAGGUAUUGUAAAGGCUUGAAUUGUAAAGGGUAAAGAAUAGUUUAAGAAAUAUGUUAUGGACUUAUUCUAUAUAAAGCUUCUCUUUUAAAAUCUCUAGAGCGUUCGAACAUUGACCACGGACAAGGUUAUAAAGUCAUUUCAUCUUCAUUCGAUAUUCAAUAAAACUAUAGCUGGUCCACUUGGGAUUGUGACCUAUCUAACCCCAAUGUGCAAAAUGGAGGUAGGGAGAAAGUAUAUAAAAAUAUGUUUAUUUAUUUUUUGGUGGGAUUAUAAAAAUAUAUCAUAAUCGACUCAUUCAUAUGUACGGAAUACGAUAAUAUUUAUGAAAACAAGCAGAAUAUUUUUUCCAUUAUACUUUAAUAAUAUCUUUCUAUAGUUUUAAAUAAAGUCUAAAUUGAUGCAAACACAAUAUUUUUUUAUUGUACUCUCUCAACAUACAUAACGUAAUUUUUCUGGAAAAAAAAUAAAAAAUAAAAAAUAAAAAGAUAAAAGUUUAGGGUGAAUU